UACAGGGGGUGCAAACGUUGCUCGGAAUCAUUGGGCGUAAAGCGCACGUAGGCGGUCUGUUAUGUCGGAUGUGAAAGCCCUUGGCUUAACUGAGGAAGUGCAUCCGAAACUGGCAGGCUAGAGUACUAAAGAGGGUCGCGGAAUUCCCGGUGUAGCGGUGAAAUGCGUAGAUAUCUGGAGGAACACCGGUGGCGAAGGCGACGUCCUGGACCGGCAUUGACGCUGAGGCGCGAAAGCCAGGGGAGCAAACGGG
rnacentral:rRNA from 1 species